rnacentral:lncRNA from 1 species
UCACGGGCGUUAACUAUUGGACAAGAAUAUAAUUCGAAGUUGUUAGUGACGUCGUGCGGCGCUUACCACAUUACCACGAAACGACCAGUAGGAACCUCGACUUAAGCUUGUUCGAUUUUAUUCCCGGUGUAAAGUACAAUGUCCGUGCUUACGUGAUAAGGUCUCGGAAUGGGAUUGAAAAUGGUACAAACUAUGUAAAUCUCACCUGGACGACCCCACGUGGUGUGACAGAAUUGGAAGCGUACGAUGCCGACUGCGACAGAAGCACCAUCUCCUUGCGAUUUAUUCCGUCAGUCCUUCUUUACGACCGAAUCGAAUCCUACGAAGUCUUCAUCGCCGAAGGAAACGAGCUCCCCAAAAAUAUGACUUUUGGUAAUACGAAAGAACAGAUCUGUGAUUUGUGGGAUGAUCACACAUGCUUGAAAGAUGUAUCCCUACCUUCGAACGCUAAGGUCAACAUAACGAUUCACGCGACGGGCAAGAAGCUUGAUCGAUUUGAUAUCCGGAGUAACAUCACCUUCUCGCUGGAAGAAUCGUGCA